rnacentral:rRNA from 1 species
UGGGGAAUAUUGCGCAAUGGGCGAAAGCCUGACGCAGCGACGCCGCGUGAGGGAUGAAGGUUUUCGGAUCGUAAACCUCUUUCAGAAGGGAAGAAACCGCACUGUGCUAAUCAGCAGUGCCUUGACGGUACCUUCAAAGGAAGCACCGGCUAACUCCGUGCCAGCAGCCGCGGUAAUACGGAGGGUGCAAGCGUUAAUCGGAAUUACUGGGCGUAAAGCGCACGUAGGCUCCUUUGUAAGUCAGGGGUGAAAUCCCACGGCUCAACCGUGGAACUGCCUUUGAUACUGCUUAGCUUGAAUCCGGGAGAGGGUGGCGGAAUUCCAGGUGUAGGAGUGAAAUCCGUAGAUAUAUGAAGGAACAUCAGUGGCGAAGGCGGCCACCUGGACCGGUAUUGACGCUGAGGUGCGAAAGCGUGGGGAGCAAACAGG